rnacentral:rRNA from 1 species
GAUGAACGCUGGCGGCAGGCCUAACACAUGCAAGUCGAACGGAAAGCCCCUUCUUUUGUGGGGUGCUCGGGUGGGGAACGGGAGGGUAACACGUGAUUAACCUGCCCUUGGCUUUGGGAGAACUUCAGGAAACUAGUGCUACUACCAGAUAGUAGCUCCUGCCGCAUGGUAGGGGUGGGAACGUUUCGGCGGGUGGGGAUGGACUCGCGGCUGAUGGUUUUGUUGGUGGGGGAGUGGCUUGCCAAGGCUUUGGAGGGUAGCCGGCCUGAGAGGGUGACCGGGCACAUGGCGACUGAGAUACGGCGCAGAGUCGUACGGGAGACAGCGGUGGGGAAUAUUGAACAAUCGGCGGAAGCCUGAUGCAGCAACGAUGCGUGCGGGAUGACGGCCUUCUGGUAGUAAACCGCUUUAGCCUGUGACGAAGCGUGAGUGACGGUAAUGGGUAAAGAAGCACCGGCUAACUACGUG